rnacentral:rRNA from 1 species
AGAGUUAAACAGUACGUGAAAUUGUUGAAAGGGAAACGAUUAAAGUCAGUCGUACGGACGGGGAAUCAGCCUUUCGGGCGUGAAUUCGCGGGAUUCGAAGAGACUUUGACCUCGCGGUAUUCGGGUUCUUUGGGUGUACUUUCCCGUAACGUAGGUCAGCAUCGGUUUCGAACGUCACAAAAUGAUCGGGGGAAUGUGGCUUCGACCUCGGUUGAAGUGUUAUAGCCUCUGGUAGAUGUAAUGAUCGGGAUCGAGGAUUGCAACGGAUGCCCUUCACGGGCUAUCCGCCUGACCUCUGAUGCGACACCCCGGUGUCGAAAGCUUGCUUACGAUAUCGGGGCGUUCGUUCAAUAGGUUAGAACGGAUUAAAUUCGUUAAGGACGCUGACGUAAUGGCUUUAAACGACC